rnacentral:lncRNA from 1 species
GCAGAGGAGGAGAAAGUACUCAUUGAUUGGGCUCUGUUGCAUUCUCAUGGUCUCAGAAAUCCUAACAGCAGCUGACUCUGAGGUCUGACAGCGGAACCAGUCGAAGAGUACUUUAGUAACUCUUUCACACCAACACCUGGCAAAAAUUCGUAUCCCUGGAGAAUAAAUGCCUUUUCUAUUCCAACCUCAAAUCAGACAUUAGCUUAGCCGACAAAGUGUUAGCAAUGUCCUUGUUUGGUAGAUGCACAUGAGGAAUAUUACGUAUAAGUGUUUGCUAGUUCCUCUCACUUGUACAAGGAGCUAUUCUUAUCCUGGCUGCCUUAGGUUGAUGAGAGGCCUCACUGCAAGUGACAGGCCUGCCUGGUACCCCAGGGAGGGAGGGCUCCUGCACAAAGGGCGGGGCAUGAAGGGAGAAGGUGAUUGAUGGAACCCCAAGACCACAUGGUACAGCACAAAGACACAGACUUUGGAAUCAAAGAUUCAGGCCCAGUUAAUAUACCUCUGUGAGCCUCUGCUUUCUCUUCUAUGAAGAGGGCAUAAUAAAAUUUAUGAUGGGGAAAGGAUAUUCUAAGCAGCAUGGGAGAAUCUGGGAAGGCUUAUCUUUUGCUCUGAGUUGAGUGCAGAGUUUAAGGAAGGGCAAAUGAGAAAUAUCACUGUGUAGAAGCAACACAGGUUAGAGACCUGGCAAAGAAGUUUAAACCUGAAGAGUAAUAAUAAGCAACAUGAUCAGAUUUCUGUCCUAAGAGAUCUCUCUGGCAGCUAGCGUGGGGGAUGGAUAGUGGAAAUGAGACUGGACAGAAAACUGGUGAGCAGGGAGUUGUGAUAGUCCAGUCUGAGGGGGUCAUACUGAUAGGAGAGAAGUGAUGGAGGAAGGCUCCACACGCCUUGAUGGGUGAACAGAGAAGGGGAGAGUGAGGGGUAGAAAUCUGGACUGAUCACCAGGCUCUGGCUCCAGUGACUAAGGGAAUGGUGGUACAUUAAUAAUCCUGGCUGUGCCACUUGUUUACUGUAGAACUGUUCCUGGAUAGCUCUGUGUCCUCAUCUAUAAAAGUGUGCUGGGUACCUAAGUCCUAGUGUUCUUGGAAGGACUUGACGGCAAGGGCCCUUGUAAGUGUCCAGGACAUUAGUGAGUUUUGUAUGAUUGCUUGUUCCAUAAACAGGUAACUCACAGAGGCAUCUAUGUGGGAAAGGAUGGGAUCGUUGUUGGACAUAUGCUGAGUGCCAGGUGCUCCUGGGACAUUGCUAUUUGGCAGUUGAAAACAGACUUGGAACUUUGGAGCAAGGUCUGGACAGAGACAGAUUGUAUGGGUGGGAAUUGCCUCCAGAAGAAUGGGUAGAAUUGAUUAGAAAUGUGCAAAUAAGAAGAGGACCAAGGAAGGUAACAUGAAGGAUGACAACAUCUCAUGGAAGGUGGAGGUAGAGACUUUUGAGAAGCAAACUAAGAGAGGCUGCCUAAAAAGUGAGAGAGCCAGGCGAAGCCACAUGGGAUGCCUCAGAGGCCAAGACAAAUAAAGACCUCCUGGUCAUAAAAGUGAGGCUGAUGUUUCAAAAGUUGAAGUACAGGGAAGUAAGAACUGAAAGAUGAGAGGGUACGCACAAUACUACCUGAAAUAUCCACGAGGUCCUGGGCACCAUGCUCACCAGGUGGCGCCAAAGACCCUCUGGGAUGCUCAACAAAUGCCUCGGAAACCUAGCACCCCCCAACCCCAACACCCAGGGGCAACCUUGAGGGGUUUCCUUCACUCUUGCCAGUCAGCCAGCUGGCAUUCCUUUAGUUAACAAACUGUCAAACUUCCAGGGCUGGAACACUCUGGACUCCAAGGAAUACGGAGCUAUUCACAACUGCGCUUCCUGUGGUGUGUGGAGAAUAGUCCCAUGUGUUCUAUCUCCUACAAUUUUCAAACUUACCUACUUUUCACCUCCAUUGCUGCCUCUCCAUUCCAAACCACCAUCCUCAUUUGUAGGAGCUGCUUUCUAAAUAAUCACUCUCCAUCCCUUCUCGACACCCCACCAACUCAACAUGAUCCUUCUCACUGCAAUUUUUUCAAAGGAUGUGAGGACCCUACCAGCCUGUUGUACUGGAAUUCCAGGGUAGUAUUUCCUGUAGCCAGAUUGCUGGAUUUGAGUCCCACCCCAGCACUCACCAGCUGUGUUGCAACUUUGGGGAGUUCCUUAGCAUGUCUGUGCCUCAUUCAUCUGUUGGAGAUUAGAUCUACUUCACAGGACUAUAAUGAAGACAAAAUGAGGGCAGCCCUGGUGGCUCAGCGGUUUAGCGCUGCCUUCAGCCCAGGACAUGAUCCUGGAGACCUGGGAUCAAGUCCCACAUCAGGCUCUCUGCAUGGAGACUGCUUCUCCCUCUGCCUGUGUCUCUGCGUCUCUGUCUCUCUCUGUGUCUCUCAUAAAUAAACUCUUAAAAAAAAAAAAGACAAAAUGAGUUGUGCAUACUGCUUGGCAUAGUCAGUACUCAAUUAAAUGUGAGCUGUGAUUAAAGUCUUGGAUAAAAAUUCAAAUCCUUAUCAUGGCUAACUGCUCUCCUUGGUCUAGUUCUGCCUUUCUGGUCUUACCUAGAAGCACUCACCCUUUCACUCCUGCUUCAGCACUGCCUGCAUUCUGCAGUUUACCUCCACUAUUUUUUCUGCAGGCCUCAUUUGCUCCCCUUCCUCCUGGAUAUAGCCUAACACUUCAUCCUUCUGAAAUCUGCCAGAACAGAUCUGAUGAGAGAUCUCAGAAUAAGA